CCAGUAUCAGUCCUAGCUACUGGAUAAAAAGCAGCCUUGACUAGAAUCCUCUUUCUCCUGAACACGCGACAAACACCUUGCACGGAACGAAAGUUCAAUCAAAAGUUCAGUGUCGAAGUUGAGUUUUCAUCAAGUGGCACAAUUUUCAUUUUUCGGUUGACUCAAUAUAGCUCUCAACUUUUACUAUAAUAUUUUCGUCUAGGUCUACCACAGACUAAUGUGUUUGAAAAAAGUAGAAAAGACAAAUCAUCGUCUUCAUCUAGUCUUCAGUCGCCAACUAUGCUCAGCAGUUUUGGUUUUCUGCAGUUUUCUACAUCUCUGGUCAAAAUUUUAGGCGAAUGCGAGCGGUUCUAAUGGAAAUCCGGCUGCAGGCGAAAAGUUUAUGCCGACCAUCUAAGCCCAGACAAGGCUCGUCUUGAGAUAAGUAAACGUCAUCUUAGCCAAGACAAGGCUCGACUUAAGACAACUAAACGCCGGCUUACCUGUCCUGAUCAUAAAAGUAAGACGAAGGCUUAUGUCUCGACUCAGUUUUGAGACGCAGCCAGACAUCAACGUCUUGGAUACGAACUCAAGAACCAAGUCGAAGUCAAGUCGAAGCAUUUUUACUCCGACGAUGUCCCACAAACGCUUGGAGAAAAUACAUUUCUUAAUGGAUUCUGAAGAGCUGUUAUUUCAAAAUCCUGCAACUCAUUUUUUGUACAAUUGGAAAAAACAACUCCAAGUGAUUUAAGUUUAAAAGGAGAGAAAAAACUAAUAGAGUGAGUGUGAAAA